GGUUUUCGGGCUUCGUAAAAACUUCUGUUUGUUAAAAGAAAGAAAAAUAUUUGAGGAGUAACCUGUUCCAGGUAUUGGACGGGUAUUUAACCCAGAAAAGCCCACGGGUUAACUUACGUGCCCAGCAGCCGCCGGUAAUACGUAGGUGGCCAAGCGUUUGUCCCGAUUUUAUUGGGGCGUAAAGCGAGCGCCGGCGGUUUUUUAAGUUCUGAUGUGAAAAGCCUUCGGCUCAACCGAAGAAGUGCAUCGGAAACUGGGAAACUUGAGUGCAGAAGAGGACAGUGGAACUCCAUGUGUAGCGGUGAAAUGCGUAGAUAUAUGGAAGAACACCAGUGGCGAAGGCGGCUGUCUGGUCUGUAACUGACGCUGAGGCUCGAAAGUAUGGGUAGCAAACAGGAUUAGAUACCCUGGUAGUCCAUACCGUAAACGAUGAAUGCUAAGUGUUGGAGGGUUUCCGCCCUUCAGUGCUGCAGCUAACGCAUUAAGCAUUCCGCCUGGGGAGUACGGCCGCAAGGCUGAAACUCAAAGGAAUUGACGGGGGCCCGCACAAGCGGUGGAGCAUGUGGUUUAAUUCGAAGCUACGCGAAGAACCUUACCAGGUCUUGACAUACUAUGCAAAUCUAAGAGAUUAGACGUUCCCUUCGGGGACAUGGAUACAGGUGGUGCAUGGUUGUCGUCAGCUCGUGUCGUGAGAUGUUGGGUUAAGUCCCGCAACGAGCGCAACCCUUAUUAUCAGUUGCCAGCAUUAAGUUGGGCACUCUGGUGAGACUGCCGGUGACAAACCGGAGGAAGGUGGGGAUGACGUCAAAUCAUCAUGCCCCUUAUGACCUGGGCUACACACGUGCUACAAUGGAUGGUACAACGAGUUGCGAACUCGCGAGAGUAAGCUAAUCUCUUAAAGCCAUUCUCAGUUCGGAUUGUAGGCUGCAACUCGCCUACAUGAAGUCGGAAUCGCUAGUAAUCGCGGAUCAGCAUGCCGCGGUGAAUACGUUCCCGGGCCUUGUACACACCGCCCGUCACACCAUGAGAGUUUGUAACACCCAAAGUCGGUGGGGUAACCUUUUAGGAACCAGCCGCCUAAGGUGGACAAAUUUUGGUAA
rnacentral:rRNA from 1 species